UGUUGGUUUUCUCGGGUUCUUAAUUUGUCCUCUCAAAUAAUAUUUUUUUUCAUUCUCUUCAUCUUCUCAGUUGGGUGUUGCAACUUUCAGAGAGUUGGUAUGAGGUAUACGAGUUUAGGGCAAAACUUUGAGUUAUUUGCCAGCGAUAAUGGUGGUCUUUUACCAUGUAUGUGCCUGCUCUUAAAGGUUGAAUCUCUCGGAACAAGCAUUAUGAUUGAUUAUAGAGAGAGCAUUGCUAGCCGAAUGAUGUGAUUUAUCCCUUGAUAGAGAAAUAUGCUCACAUCAGGUUAAACUACCCAGCAGAACUAAGAGCAAAAUUCACUUGCCAUGUUACAGAUGACUAAAGCCUCUCCUCCAACACUUAAAUUGGUAAUGGUAAUGAACUAUAUAUCUUGAUACCUCUUUUAAUUCAUUCGAUCUCUCAACAGACUGCUCCCUAUAUAUUUAUGUUUAUCUUUCUUGAAACAGCCAGUGUUGAGUGUGCCUAUAUUGUGUUUAGUUUUAUUUAUUUCAUUAUAAG